rnacentral:rRNA from 1 species
GUCUACGGCCACGCUACCCUGAACAAGCCUGAUCCUGUCUGAUCUUGAAAGCUAAGCAGGGUCGGGCCUGGUUAAUACUUGGAUGGGAGACCAUCUAGGAAGACCAGGUGCUGUAGGCA